rnacentral:rRNA from 1 species
CCUACGGGGGGCUGCAGUGGGGAAUAUUGGACAAUGGGCGAAAGCCUGAUCCAGCCAUGCCGCGUGUGUGAAGAAGGCCUUCGGGUUGUAAAGCACUUUCAGUGGGGAAGAAAGCCUUGGGGCUAAUACCCUCGAGGAAGGACAUCACCCACAGAAGAAGCACCGGCUAACUCCGUGCCAGCAGCCGCGGUAAUACGGAGGGUGCGAGCGUUAAUCGGAAUUACUGGGCGUAAAGCGCGCGUAGGCGGUCUGAUAAGCCGGUUGUGAAAGCCCCGGGCUCAACCUGGGAACGGCAUCCGGAACUGUCAGGCUAGAGUGCAGGAGAGGAAGGUAGAAUUCCCGGUGUAGCGGUGAAAUGCGUAGAGAUCGGGAGGAAUACCAGUGGCGAAGGCGGCCUUCUGGACUGACACUGACGCUGAGGUGCGAAAGCGUGGGUAGCAAACAGGAUUAGAUACCCAUGUAGUC